ensembl:lncRNA
GCCAUUCACAUCUUCACUCCCAGUACUGCUGGUCAACAACUAGCGUGAGGUGACUCAAAUACUGUCUCAAUGUUUGCGUCGGGAUCCUGAGACCGGCGUCCACCAGGCCUCGGACCCUGCGAGGCGUCAACCGGAUCCUGAGACCGGCGUCCACCAGGCCUCGGACCCUGCGAGGCGUCAACCGUUCCUGCAAAGUCAGUUUCAAAACUCACUUUUCUGAGGACUUUUUUUGAUGUAGAUAGGUUUUUGUGCUGUACUAUGCAUGUUUAUAUGUCUGUGUAUUAUUAUUAAUUUUAUGUGGACCCCAGGGAGAAUAGCGACCACAGCUGUGGAAGCUAAUGGGGAUCUGAAAAAAGAUAAGAAAUGGAUAAAAAGAUUGUGACGCAAACUCCGGCCCUCUCAUCUGAGACGGCGUCCAAUGCAAACGGCCCACGCUGAGAUUCGUGGCAGCAGAAUGAUUCUCUUUAUGUUGGCAUCGGAGGGGCAGUUUGAGCAAGGUAGCACCACCUGCUCUCGACAUCUCUGUCCACGUUGGUGACCGCCCACGCCGGCCACAAAGUAUAGCCCUUACUCCGACGGUUGGAGAUAAUGUUGACAAUUGUCUGAAGUCAUCCCUAUUAAGUCAUUUCUAUCUAGCCGAUGUUUGCAGUAGAAUUAUCAUUGGGCGAUAUUAAGUACAAAAAAGCCUAACGAUGAGCAUAUUUCAGUGCUUAACUGAAUCAAGUCUCUUUUCUAUCCCCUUUUCCAACCUUUGAGGAACCAUUACAGGUCUGUUUUCAAAAUGUCAGCUUUAUUGUUCAUACCUUUUGUCCUUUCAAUCCUUCAGCUCUGUCUCUCUACCGGGAACACCUGAUAGGCUUUUACAGCCGCGAGGAAACCCUGGUGCCCCUGGCCACCUGAAGAACACUGUGUUGAUGUACUGUAGACCCUGAGGCCUCCCUCAUCUGGAGGCCUCAGGGAGUAUAAAGGAACAGAUCAGCGGUCUCUGUCAGGCAGCUCUCUUAUUUAGGAGAUCAUAACCGGAGAUCAUCUCUCUCUUGGCACCUACGGCGGCGGUAACGGUUGCUAGGGGAAGAGGCUCACCGGGAAGAGGCUGUUGGAUUUCAUCUGUGGAUACGAAGUGAAGACGACAAACACUGCAAGAAAAACACAAACGUGUGUCAACAAAAAAAAUAGUACUUUGUGUAGCGUCUUAUAGCUAUCGUUGUUGUUUACAGCAGCGGUCCCCAACCCCCGGGCCGCGGACCGGUACCGGUCCGUGGGUCAUUUGGUACCGGUCCGCAGAGAAAUAUUAUUUAUUUAUUUUAAGUUUAAUUUUAUUUAUUUUUUUAUUCAUGCAAAAUGCAUGCACACUUAAUAAACUCAAUUUACUUGCAAUACUGUCACUCUUUUACAUGCCAUAAGUCUAUAUGCAGUUGUUAGAUUGCAUAUAACAUGUUUGCAUUUUU